GUUAAAUUUCUAACCGUUAUUAAAUCAUAUUUUUAAAAAAUUAAAAAACAACAGCUUAUUACUUUUGCCCCGUUUAUUUCCCUCACUUAACAAAAAUCAAAACCCGCCCCUCUUUUCCCUCCCGACACUUUAACCAAAUACCUCCUCCCUCCCGAAAUAUUCCAUCUCCCUCCUCCAUCCCGACACAUCUCCCUCUCCCUCCUCCCUCCCUACACUUCUCACCUCUCACUCCCCCACUCUGUCGCCUCGCUGUCACCUCCGCAUCUCUCACAUUUCACUGGUGUCUCUCACAUCUUCGUCGUAUCAAAUUAGGGUUUCAAUUUAACCCCAAAUUGGUGCUUCGAGAAUCACCUAAUUUCUCAACCUGAAGCACCUAAUUUCUCUCUAAUUAGGUUUAUUUCGAUUAAGUUUUGUUUUCACUAAUUUUUGGGUUUUUCAUUUUUGAACAGAUCUGGAGGUUUGAAGGCUUGAAGAAGUUUUACUGAACUUGAAGAGUUUACACUGAACUGGAAGAGUUUUCCAUGUGACUGACCUUGAUGGGAAUUCAAGGUGUGGACACACAAUGGACGCAUUGCAUCGCUCAUUUAUGUUAAAGAUUGUGAUUCAGGGUACCAAAUUUAAGCUGAAGACUGACCAAAUAUGGAGUUCUUCACUGACAUUUACAGUGAGACUAAAUGCCUGAGCAAUUGCGGAGAGCCCUCUCAAAAAAUGAAGUUGUGAACAGGGCUCAACAGGGCUCCAGGAAUAACUGGUCUGCUACAUAUCAACUGCUGCAUGGACAAAUUUGAGGACCUGGAAAAUCACUUAAGUAUCAGCAUUUUCCACUCGUUCUCAACAGCCUGGAGGGUAUAAUCUACACUCACCUAUCUACUUACUAUCUUCAAUUCUGAACUAAGAUAAUUAACAGCUAUUGUAUAU